UAACAAGGUUUCCGUAGGUGAACCUGCGGAAGGAUCAUUAGUGAAUAUUAGCGUGUCUUUGCUUCGUGCAAGAGCGUGACCUCCACUUUCUAACUCUGUGCACUAUAUGGCGGAAUUGAAGAGAGCAGUCUCUAAAGUUCCGCGGCUCAUUUUAAAACACUAGUUAAAGAAUGUAACGAAAUAUCGAAACAAAAAAAAACUUUCAACAACGGAUCUCUUGGCUCUCGCAUCGAUGAAGAACGCAGCGA
rnacentral:misc_RNA from 1 species